CGGCCGGCUUUUAGCUUUUGUUCGGCGGCUCCCUCCGCCCGCACCGAACUCGGCCCCUCCGACGGCGGCGUGAGCACCACCGGCCCGCGGGGCUCUCGGGUUACAGGAAACCGGAGACGGUGCCGAGAACCUCCACCUUCUGAGGGGGCUGCCCACCCCGGGGGAUUUACCCAGAAAACCUAAAAAGUGGUUUGCCGACUGAUCAGCACCGAAGAGAACACACUUCUGAAAGGACAAAGCGAAUAAACUUGGUCCCGGGGCAAAGCAGCGCCCUGAACGGACCCCUGCAACUUGCUGGGCGCAGCUCCUCCCCGGGACCUGGCUGGAGAUGAAGCAGCUGCUGCGCCCGCGAGCGGGACAGAUGUGGGGCCGGGCCGGGGCGGGGGCCGCCCGUUGGGGGCCGCUGCGAGCCGGCGUUUGAAGGCUUGUUUGUUGCAGGGAUUGGUGGCUCACAUCCGCUGGGGACGGGAGGGCGGGAGGAGACGCGGGAGGAGGGGCCCACGCCGCGGCCUGAGUGGCAGCAGCCUUGGCUGGAGGCCGGCGGUUACUGGGGAGACGCUUUGUUUGCUAACUUCGACAGCGGCCUCGGCCACUCGACAAAACACGCCUCCUGGCCGCUGGCAGCAGCUCGCGACAAAAAAGGUUUCCUUCUUCCGCGUGGUUAUCCUUGGCCACGCGAUGGCUCUCAUUCUGUACACAAAGGCACCUUCUCGUCUAAAUGAACUUGGCUAAUGACGGCGAUUCUCUGGCAACUGAGUUGGAAACCGAGAGAGGAAGCGAAGACAAACUUUGGCUAGAAGUUUGGCUAGAAGACAAACUUUAGGGGCAGGGGGAGGGGCGCACGUGAUUUCUUUCAAAUAGCGAAGAGGAAAUAGUGGAACUUUAAACGCUCUCGCUGGAGGUCCGGCUUGAUCCGGCCAAUGCUCGCCUUUUGCUGGAGCGCAUAAUAUCAAAGCAAUUAUUAAAGCUGGUGAGACGGUCCGAAGAGGAACCCGGGCACCUGUCGGGGCAUACUUCGUUCCAAUGGGUGUCUUAUCUUCUCAAGCUGUCUCAAGGCCAAGAAAAGAAACAGUUGUUAAAGUUACUUUUCACAGCCUGCAAACCCUUCAAAGGCACAAAAGCCAGAAAAAUGUAUCAAUACAUCCAGUUAUUUUGAUGCCAGGUCCAGGAAGUAAUUGCAGAAUGUAUUUCAUUAAUCUAAACAACCAUUGAUCAAGCAAGAAUUCCAUCCGGCCCUGUCCUAGGUGGAGGAACGAUGCUCACUCAGCCUUGUAUCCAUCCCUUUUGCUUCUAAUCUCUGGGGGACAGAUAUUUUUUAAAAACAUAUAUGUAGACUGCUGGGCUCGCACAAGGAUUUUAUAGUUAUCGCUUCACAUCUCAGGUGUGGGGGCUGGGACUACUUAAAGAAAGCUGACCAUAGUCUUUUCAGGGGCCUGGUGUGGGGCUACAACCCUCUUAUGAUUUUUAUCGACCCCAUCAGGAUUGUCUCCAUCUCUUAAUUACAUGAAUAAUGUAAUUAGUAAUGAAUAAUGUAAUUAGUAGGUAAUCACUUUUCUCCUAGCCUGCACUUCUCUUCCCAUCCUUUUUCCUCUGUAGCCCAGUCCUCCUUUUCCUUUGCCUAGCGCCUUGGACUCAAGGGGACCGAGUAAAGAGAUAAUUUGAGUACAGCCUUUGCCCUCUUUUGGCCUCAUCAUACAUCUGUAGUGUGCUUUACAGUCUAUGAAACACUUAGGUGGCCUUACUUAAUAGUACAGUGAAGUAUGUUAUUAUUUUUCUCUAAAGUCAAUAUAACUUAACACCCAAAUAUAACAAAGCUAAAAGGUAUAAAACCAAGUGCGGGGCAUAAAUUGCCUGGCUUUAAGUCAGGUGUUCUCUGUCAUUCUUUCUUGGAAGAUCCAAUAGAUGUGGAAGGCAGUAUAUAAAACAGAUUUUAAGCACAGAUGAUGGUAUCAGGGCCUACUGAUCAUGUGUGGCGAUUGCUUCAAAAUCUCUUCUUUGAAAUCUACCAGUAGUUUUACAAAAGGCUCUCUUCCAACCUAAUAGCUUUUUGUGAUUUGUGUUCUUUUCUCAUUUUUUAAAAAGAAAAAGUGCUAAAAAAAUUCAAGCAAGAAACAAGUACACAAAGUUAAAUGUGAAAGACCGUAAUUACUCUCCACUCUCCAAAUGUGCAUAUGUAUACUACACACAAAUGUAAGGGAUGUCUUCUUACUUCCUCUUUUUAAGUCGACUGGGCCUGGGAUGGUCCCAGGAGUCUGUGAUAUCCUGACCUAAAUGUAGGUAUCCUCAAUGCUACCGUCCACCUCAGCGUCUCAACCACAGUUCUAUUAACAAUUGGAGCUGGAUAAUCUUUGUUGUGUAUUGUAGAAUGUUUAGCAGCAUCCUGGCCCUAACCAAUACUUGUCAGUAACACCCAUCCCCCAAGUUGUCACAAACAAAAAAACAGCCCAGGCAUUGCCAGAGGUCCUCCAGAGGGGAUGGAAAUGGGCUGGGGUGGGGUUGGUGUGGGUGGGGUGAGGAUCAUCUCUGCUUGAGAACCACAGAUCUAGCUCAACCCUUUAUUUCUUCCGUAACACCUCACUUUAAGUUACAGUAUUUUGCUAUUUGACUAUUAACUUGUUUAUUUUCCUGUGACUCCCACUAAAAAGACUUUCAGAUAUCAUACCAGAUGUUAACUUAUUCCCUUUUUCCUACUUCCAUGAAUGUAGUUAAUCCAUUCACAUGUGUCCAUUUAUCUUCCUAAAGCUAUAAAGGACCCAUUUAUAAUGGCAACAAAACGACGAAAUAUCCAGGAAUGAAAUUAACAAGAAAUAGGUGCAAGUUUUAUGAGGAAAACUUUAAAAUUCUACGGAGAGACAUGAAGGAAGACUUAAGUAAAAUAAAAACUAUAACAUUGUUUUUAGCAAGAUUUAGUAGUGAAAGGAGAAGGAUGUUUAUUUUCCCCCAAUCAAUCUUUAAAUUCAAAGCAAUUUCCAUUAAAAUACCAACAGGAUUUUUUUUUUUUUUUGUAAUGGCCACAGUUCAUAAAAAUUAAAGAUCUCACAAUAGCUGGGGAAAUUCUAAAAGAGAAAGUAGGGUGGGGGAGGAUAGGGAAAGCCCCUCCAAACAUUAAAGUGUGUUUUGACGUUGAUAAUAAUUACAAUGUAAAAGUUUUGUACUGAGAAUAAAAAGGAAACAAAGAACAAUGAGACAUUAGAAUACAGAGAGAGAUGGAGAUUUUGGCAAAGGUGGCUUUUCAGAUCAGGGAUAAUUGAAUUGGAUAAUUGACUACUUUUAGUUGAAAAUGAAGCUGGAUCUCUGUCUCCUUUAACAAAAAUAAAAUUCAUUGAGUUAAAGAUUGAAAUAUUAAAGUAACUUAAAAUACACUAAAUAUGUUCUAGAACAGUGAUUUUCCAGAGGGUGUGUAUGUGGCGAGUUGGCCUCCCAGGGACAUUUGACAUUGUUUGGAGACAUUUGGUCGUCACUAGAUAGGGGGGAAGCCACUGGCCUCUGGAGGAUAGAGGCCAGGGAUGGCUGCUAAACACGCUGCUACACACAGCACUGACGUCCACAGGAAAUUAUCCUGUCCAAAAAGUCAGUAGCGUGGGGCAUGAAUAUGAUCUUGGAAUGGAGAAGACCUUUCCAAUCAGGACACAAAAUUGAGAAAGAAUAAAAUAUGUAAAUGUUUAUAAGCAUUUUGUUUUUGUUUUGUUGU